AUUGAACGCUGGCGGCAUGCCUUACACAUGCAAGUCGAACGGCAGCAUGGGUGCUUGCACCUGAUGGCGAGUGGCGAACGGGUGAGUAAUGCAUCGGAACGUACCCGGAAGUGGGGGAUAACGUAGCGAAAGUUACGCUAAUACCGCAUAUUCUGUGAGCAGGAAAGUGGGGGAUCGCAGGACCUCGCGCUUCCGGAGGGGCCGAUGUCGGAUUAGCUAGUUGGCGGGGUAAAGGCCCAACAAGGCAACGAUCCGUAGCGGGUCUGAGAGGAUGAUCCGCCACACUGGGACUGAGACACGGCCCAGACUCCUACGGGAGGCAGCAGUGGGGAAUUUUGGACAAUGGGGGCAACCCUGAUCCAGCCAUGCCGCGUGAGUGAAGAAGGCCUUCGGGUUGUAAAGCUCUUUCGGCCGGGAAGAAAUCGCACAGGUUAAUACCUUGUGUGGAUGACGGUACCGGAAUAAGAAGCACCGGCUAACUACGUGCCAGCCGCCGCCGUAACAC
rnacentral:rRNA from 1 species